rnacentral:rRNA from 1 species
GACGAACGCUGGCGGCGUGCUUAACACAUGCAAGUCGAACGGAAAGGCCCUGCUUUUGUGGGGUGCUCGAGUGGCGAACGGGUGAGUAACACGUGAGUAACCUGCCCUUGACUUUGGGAUAACUUCAGGAAACUGGGGCUAAUACCGGAUAGGAGCUCCUGCUGCAUGGUGGGGGUUGGAAAGUUUCGGCGGUUGGGGAUGGACUCGCGGCUUAUCAGCUUGUUGGUGGGGUAGUGGCUUACCAAGGCUUUGACGGGUAGCCGGCCUGAGAGGGUGACCGGCCACAUUGGGACUGAGAUGCGGCCCAGACUCCUACGGGAGGCAGCAGUGGGGAAUAUUGCACAAUGGGCGGAAGCCUGAUGCAGAAACGCCGCGUGCGGGAUGACGGCCUUCGGGUUGUAAACCGCUUUCGCCUGUGACGAAGCGUGAGUGACGGUAAUGGGUAAAGAAGCACCGGCUAACUACGUG